AGAACUCGUCGAAAUCACGUCGGAUUCAAGAUCUGCGUCUGGUCGAAGUCGCCGCCGCCACUUCGUCCGUGCCUCGCUGCCGACAGAAUUCGAAGACCACCAGGAGGAGCGCGACGAGGGAUCUUUCUUGGAUCCCAAAUCCUUGCUCCCAAAUCCUUCUUGGGUCCAGCCGCCAUGGAGGGAUUUUGCGUGUCCUCCUCCAUCCAGCGCCCCGCCGACGACGAUGCCGAAACCUUCCGCUACCCAUCCUGGGUCCUCCUCGAUAGCAGAGCCCACUUCGCCGACCUCGACAACGCCACCACCGUCAAAGCCAAGGCCAGCACGGGGCACGAAGUCCAGGUCACCUUCUGCCUCGCCGAGCCACCUGCCGUCUCCUAUUUCUGCGUUCGCUGCCCCGAAGAUUGUCGCACCACGGAGCCCCGCGUCGUCUCCUCCGCCAAUGAGCUCGUCCUCCUCUGCUUCGCCUUCAGAACCGGCCCGCCGAGCAGAGAAGAAGACUGCCAUCUCCUCGAGUACUUCGUCUACAAGGCUGCCUCCGGCGGCAACCAGUCCAUCAGACCCGUUCCGUCUUCUUCUUCAACCUACAGGCACUCAUGGCACGCGGCCAUCUUGCCCUGCGAGGGCGACGAUUUCUUGAUCGCUGAUCUUGUCCGGAACGGGGACCUUGGGCACUACGACCUGCUCAUCUUCUCGUCGGAGAUGAACGAGUGGAGCGCCACACACUUGCAGCUGCAGACCCCUCCCGAUGUCGUGCCACGGAACCUGCCAAGCCAAACCGACAAGGUCAUCUCUCUCGGAGGAAGCACCGUAGGAUGGGUCGACCUCUGGCGCGGCAUCGUCGUCUGUGAUGUGCUUCACAAGGAUCCUGUUCUCCGCUUCAUCCCGCUGCCCAAGGGCGAUUUUGACGGCCAAGCUCGGCUAGUGCGGGACGUCAUGGGCUUCCCCAAUGGUUUGAUCAGCUUCAUCGAGGUCGAAAAUUGUUCCAAAUGGUAUAAUUUUAGCAACAUGAGGAGUUUCAAGACGACCUCGUUUCUUGACUUCCUAGAUACCAUCCAGGAUACCGAGCUAGGCAGCCAUGAUGAAAGGGUCGUUAUGGAUGAUGGACUUAAGUCUGUACCUGAUGGCUGGAAGAUCCGAACAUGCUUUAGGAGCAUUUCUUCGGACCAUUGGAGGAAGAGGCACGUUGCCCAUGUUGAUGACAUAUCAACCGACCAACGACAUUCUUUGCUGGAACUUCGGCUGUGGGAUAGUAGAGCUCGAAAAUGCAUACUAAGAAAUCUGAACACUACAGCAGGCAUCCCGACCUUCAGCAUUUACGAUGACAAUGCUGUCUACCUCAAGGUGGCGUCUCGUGAUGAUGAAGAUGCAUGGAUAAUUGGCGUUGAUCUUGGCAAAAAGACGUUAGAGGUCAUCAAACCAUAUUGUGCCGUGGGAUCCACUUCUUUCGACCCAACAUUCAUUUCCUGUGCAUUCUCCGAAUAUCUGAAUACCACUCCAAGUCCAAGG
rnacentral:rRNA from 1 species